rnacentral:sRNA from 1 species
GAAUGCUUCCCGGGCCACUACUUACUCCCUUUGCAAACUUUGCUCCCCUUCCUCAGAGCUGCGGAUCCUGCUGCUGUGUGGUAGUGACCUGCUGGAGUCCUUCUGCAUCCCAGGGCUCUGGAACGAGGCAGAUAUGGAGGUGAUUGUUGGUGACUUUGGGAUUGUGGUGGUGCCCCGGGAUGCAGCCGACACAGACCGAAUCAUGAAUCACUCCUCAAUACUCCGCAAAUACAAAAACAACAUCAUGGUGGUGAAGGAUGACAUCAACCAUCCCAUGUCUGUUGUCAGCUCAACCAAGAGCAGGCUGGCCCUGCAGCAUGGGGACGGCCAUGUUGUGGAUUACCUGUCCCAGCCGGUCAUCGACUACAUCCUCAAAAGCCAGCUGUACAUCAAUGCCUCCGGCUAGCAGCUACACAGUGCUCGGCUCCACUCUCCCCUCGUCCUCCGGCAACACAAUGGCCCCUCCAUCUUUGUCAGCCCCCUGUUUCUCUCCUGCCUCUCUGUUUCUCCAUCUCCUCGUCUUGACUGUUUUCCCUACUUGCUGACUUAACCCCCCAUAGUGUGGGGGACCUGCAGAGAACCAUGGCAUUCCCUAUUCCACAGUCAUCUUUGGACAGACUUUCCUCUAGUCUCCGGGUUGGGGGUGG